AUCAGACAAGAAAACCCGCUGAAUUUAAGCAUAUAACUAAGCGGAGGAAAAGAAACUAACAAGGAUUCCCCUAGUAACGGCGAGUGAAGCGGGAAGAGCUCAGCUUGAAAAUCUGGGUGGCCCUGUGCUACCCCGAAUUGUAGUCUAGAGAAGCAUAACCAUCGACGGCCCAGAGAAAAGUCUCUUGGAACAGAGCAUCAGAGAGGGUGAAAAUCCCGUUCUUGCUCUGGAGUCUGUCGCGUACGGUUUGUUCUCGAAGAGUCGGGUUGCUUGGGAUUGCAGUCCAAAGAGGGUGGUAAAUUCCAUCUAAAGCU
rnacentral:rRNA from 9 species